GCGACCUAUUACGUCAUGUAAAACGGUGUAUUUUCGCGGUGCACCAAGUAUGUUCUGGAAAUGCGUCUAUUUAUGUAAGUUUAGACGAUUCACUGAUGGUUUAAUGUUGAUACUGGAUUUGUACGUAACAUUUUUGAGUUAUGAAGGCUACCAUGCACUCUUGAUGUUGAAUACCAUUAUCCCUGGGAUUUUGCUCAGCAGGUGCAUUAUCCACAUCAUUUACAACAAAUUGGACCAGUUUAUUUCCGUACCCUAAGGGAGCGCCUUGUGUUUGGUGUAUGUGCAGAAAGGUCAGGCAAACAGACUUUUAUUUUAUUGAUGAAAGUCAGUGCACUGGGAAAGGAGUGGAAGGUGUGGUGUCUAGGGCUCAUCAUUGUUUGCAGUUCUAUGGCAUAGGAGAAAAACAUGCACAGGACUACAUGAGACUGUUGCAGUGAGAAUUUUGGUGACAGGGCACAGGAAAUUCAACCCAGAUUAGCAUUUUGAUGUAUGGAAAGUGAAGUGGAGAGAUUCUGAUGCAUAAACUAUGACCCAAAUGGCUGACACUGUGAGACAGUCAUCAAAAGGGGGUCAUAAUGUUCCACAAGUAGUUCUGAUCCUGAAACACCUGUUGCUUUUUACAGCUUGAAGCAAUUUCUUGAACAGUAUUUUAAACAGUUCAACAGUUGUCUAUACACCAACAUUUCAUUGUCAGUUCUGUUGAACCGGGUGUUGUAUGUUGCAAAGACUAUUUUAAUUCUGAAGAAGUUAAAGUAACAAUACUGAAGCAAGUGCCCGAUAAAAAUGCUAUGCUUGUAGUAAAAGCUUUUUCAGUUUUGAAUUUGGCCCGUCAGUGGUAUUUGUCUUAAAAUUUUUGAGAUUGCUUCUUAACACACUGUUUUGAUUUUCUAUCCAUAUUAUUCAGUUUUUGUUUCAAGUCUAUUUAUUUUGCAGAUGUCGAGCAUAGAAUGAUAUACUAAUAAUGCUAUGGAAAUGGUGAAAUAUUUUAUAGUUGCUAGGCAACAGAAUAUAGGUUGUAAAUUUUUUGUGGAUAUUGUUUUGCUUUAAUUCUUGUUAGAUUCUGAACACUGAGUUAUAUGAAAAUACUAUGUUGUUGAGGGUUUUUAAAAAGAUGAUUAAACCAUCAUAACUGAUUCGAAGUCACUGUGAAAUUCCGUUUGCAAAUGCAAUGUUGUUUUUUUUGUUAAAGAAAAGUUAUUUUGCCUUCAAAGAAUUCCAUUGUUGCUAAACAACAGAAAUAUUGAGGUCGCUGUUUUAUAACUAUAUUUAUGCUUUGUUAUCAUAGCUUUAUUUCAUACAGCCAUAUUUGCAAAGAAAGCACAUUGUUAAGGGCUUGUAAAACACUGAAGAUUAAUAUUACUAGGUGCAGGAAAUUUUGUAAAAAGAGCCUGUUUGCAGAUGAAAUAUUUUGCACAUUGUUUAUGUAUUAAGAUAUUUUUUUCUUCAAAACCACUUUAUAUAUUGCCCAGAAAAUUUCAUAACUGUUUAGAUAGAGAAUGUUAUUACCCAUUUUGAAUUAAAAUUCAUUUGUGACAUAAUUUCACUUAAAUUAUUGUCAUAUAUAGCUUAAAAAGUAAGAAAAAUGGAAUAUUUUCUGGUUGCUAGGCAACCGAAAUGAAAACUUUUGUCUACUGCUCUCCGUUUUUUGUCUCAAAAUGUUGUUUUGACAUUAAAUAAAGAAACUGAACACAUUA